GAGCGAUUCAAAAAUCUAGCUUUUCACCUUCACACGGAAGAGGCCACAGGUUCGAUACCUGUAUCGCCCACCA
rnacentral:tRNA from 1 species